rnacentral:lncRNA from 12 species
AUGCCCCAUUCCCUGCGGCCGCAGCUGAGGCGCCAGCGGCAUCCUUGCCACGAGGGGGCGGGGCGGGGCGGGGCGGGGCGGGGCCCUGAGUGGGACGGGGUACUCCGACCGGUGCCUGGCAGGGCCGGGCCUCAGGUGCUUCACCGGUCGGACGGCAACUGGCAAGAGGAACCUCCUGGGUCUUGUAGGGGCGCAGGCGACUACUGGGAGGCAGCCGUGACCUACUGUCCUCGUUGCACCUGCCCUCGGAACCGCCCUCGGAACCGCCGGGACGUUCAGGCAGGAGGGAGGGGGGCAGAGAGAUCUGGUUCCGCUGCCCCAUUUCACAGAUGGCGACACAGUUUCUUAAAAUCGUCCCUGAACUUCCCUGCGCGCUCCGGGCCCAUCACACCCCGCGACUCCCUCGCAGGCCGAAGGCUGCACCCACGAGCUCACGCCGCGCCCCCCGGCCCGGCCCGUGCAGUGCGGGCGCCGCUCCCGAGUCCCACCCGGUCCCCACCCGCGGGGCCGGCCUCCUCUUCCCCUUCCCCCCCACCCAGGGCCGCGCCCACUCCCGGACAGCUGUGGCGUCUGCAAACUGCUUGCACGGAGUCGGGGUUCCUGUUCUUUGUUUUUCUUCGGACCUGGAGGAGCGUGGAGAGCGGAUGCCGUGGCCCAGGCCUUCUCGGGGCGCCGGGCGGCGCGGGCGUGCGCCCCCCCCCGGGCUCCCCUUGGGCUCCCCCCCCCCCCCCGCCCCGACAAGUAAAUACAAUUAAAGAUAAAUGGAUGCUUCCUCGCGUCCUCCGACACACAGUCGAGCGUCGGGCCUGGCGGGAGGGCGCCCGCCCUCUGCACCUGCCGGCCGCACUGUCGGGGCAGCGCCGCUCGCUCCCGCCGGGACCCGGCGCCGCCUGCAGCCCGGGGCGUGACCUGGACCCGGGGUCGAGUCCCGCGACGGGCGCCCUGCGUGGAGCCUGCUGCUCCCUCGGCCUGUGUCUCUGCCUCCCUCCCUCCCUCUCUCUCUCUGUCUUGUGA